rnacentral:misc_RNA from 2 species
AAGUCAUAACAAGGUUUCCGUAGGUGAACCUGCGGAAGGAUCAUUAAUAAUGCCCUUUGACUUCGGUCUAUUGGGUUCAAUGUGUGCCUUCUCUUCGGAGUUGGCCAUCCACACACACCGUGAACUGUGGCUUCGGCCAUCACAAACUAUUAGUAAUGAAUGUAAUAUCAUAACAAAAUAAAACUUUUAACAACGGAUCUCUUGGCUCUC